CCACAGGACUUUUCGUCGCUUUUGCAGAUUCAGACUAACACAGCUAUCCCCCUGUCAUCUAUAGCUGUCUGUUAUCUCUUGACUUAUACUUUACUCCAGGGAUAAUUCUGCACCAAAAAAAUCCAAAAUUCUGUGCCAGAAAAUUCAAAACACUGCAUAUUUUAUUUGUCAAAAAUAUAAUCACACCAGUUUCACUUAUUUUGGUAAUUUAUUUAAACUACUAUGCUGAAAAAGAUCACAAUAACUGCUCAGCAUUUCUUAAAGACAUGAAAGUUAAGUUACAAGUACAUGUUAAUCAAGACCCUGCAUUCCAGUUCUAAUCCUGGAUUUUCAUUUAAAUUACAUUAUUUUUGUUUUGAUGUUGGGUCGCUGUAAAGUGAAAUGUCACUUUAAAUUACUCAGACUUUCCCCCAACAAGUCAUACAAUUUUGCUAAUCAUGGUCCUGCAUUUUUUAAAAUGAAUAAAUAACAAAUAUCCUGAGCUGUAAUCUAACCCAAUUGUGCCUCUCUGGCACAGGAAAAAAGCCAGAAAACCUUCCUGGUUGAGGAUUGUUACAGUCAUUUACCAUAAGGCUUCUUUAGACUACUCUGGCAAGGUAAAGGAGCCUUAAUUUACUAAGAAUGGGAACAAUUAUCAAACAUCAGCAGCCUGCCUUUUUAGUUGUAGAUUUUUAAAACAAUCUGUCAGGUUCUGUGACCCAUCAUGUGUUGCAUCACUUUUCUGCUCUGCCUCAGAGACAGAGCCUGCUUCACACAGCCCUAGCCUCCAAGCCCCUGAUGCAGCAACAGACACCAGCGGGACAGAAGUAUAACAGAGAUGUGGCCAUGUUAGUCUGAUCUUGCUGAAACAAAAGACAGGACUAUGCAGCACUUUAAAGACUAACAAGAUGCUUUAUAGGCCCACGAAAGCUCAUCACCUAAUCCUGUCUUUUGUUUCAGAGGGACAGAGUGAGUCUUCAUGCAGGCAGAUAUUCAUGGACACACACAUGUACACAUGCCCAACCUUCCCCCCAUGGUAAUCUGUUCUCUGGGCACAGAAUUCCCCUGGGAGUACAUACUUAGAUGUAAGCUGUUUGAGACAGUUAAUAUAAUUUUGCUCCGUGUUUAUAUUGCACCUUGCACAGUGGGUUUCAGCUUCAUAACUAGGAUUUCUAGGUAAUAUGAUAAUGCAAAUAAUAGUAAUUGUGCAUGGUCUCUACUGUUGUUUUCUGUCACAAUGUCAGUAUUCCCCAAAGUGGAUGAACAACAAAAUGAUUAAUGAAGGAAGUGCCUGCCUGCGUGUUCAGAGGUGAGUGACAGCCCCAGAGCAGCAGUGAGGAUGAAAAGGCUGUAAGGAAGGUGGUGAAAUUCCUUUGUAGAAGAAUGGCUACUUUUCAAUCCAUGAUUAAGUGACCAGAUUGAACUGUGCUGGAACUAUGGCACCUCUAUGAAGUGGCUCAUUCUCUCCUCUGCCAUCGCUAGGUCUGGUCUCACAAAUGAGGAACCAGUGAACUAUCUAGAAAGAAGUAUGAAGCUGUUACAGUACCUUGAACAAAAUAUUUGUUGCUUUCAAUGAUUACAGAAUAAUAAAAUCAUUUAGGCUGAGGAAGUGCUAUGGCUAUGGAGCUUCUAAAAUGGAAAAACUUAAUGCAUUUGACUCAUGCAUCUUUGAACUGCUCUUCAGAACUCAGCAUUUUCCUUCUGGCUCAGAGAGAUAUGUUUUCAUCACAAUAAACAUUUGCAAUGGUGUGGAAGCUAUACAUUCAGACACCAGUGCCUAAUGGCUUCUGUGCCCAGGGAGUUGAGUUUUACAUUCAUUCAUGCUUAUAAUUUGGAGCCUGAAAGGUAUUUAACAGCAGAAUAGGAGAUAGCCCAGAGUUUAUUCUUUUGAUCUCAUUGUAUUAACAUCGACUAUAUUUUGGAUAUUUUUAUGGAUUUUAUAAACUCUGCAUUGGAAGAAAAAACAAAGAUAAAAGUUAGGGCUUAAUAGUUCUUUGAGUGCUUGCUUAUGUCCAUUCCGUCUAGGUGUGUGCACAAGUUCCGGAAGCUUUUUGCCCUUAGCAGUACCCGUUGGGCCAGCAGGGGAGCCCCCUGGAAUGGUGCUGAUAUAUCCUAGCAUAUAACCGCCUGCUGGCCCUCCACCCCCUCAGUUCUUUCUUUCCACCAUGACUGUUGCUGGAACACUCUGCUUGCCUUUGCAAGUGUGCCCUUAGCUUUCUUAUGUAAAUAGUUUCUCCUUAGGAAUAGUUAGCAGUUGAUUGUUAGUAGAUAGUGAUUAGAUAGUGUAGAUAGUAGUUUUCCUGCUUCCCUCCCUGAGGAGGACAUGCUGGGACCCCAGGGCUUCAAACUCUGUAAACAGUGCUCCAAACCCAUGCCCCGGGGAGUCCACACAAAGAUUGGUUGAAGUGCCUCCCUGAGGGCCAUUUAACUAACGCAUGCAAGAUCUGCAGGUCCUUUAAGCCAGGUACGCAGAGGGAGAGAGACUCCAGCUUAAGCUUCUGUUAAUGGAGCCAGCACUUCAGCCCCGGGUGCUGGAGCCAGCACCCUCGGUAAGGAGCGCACCG